rnacentral:lncRNA from 1 species
AGACAGAUCACCCCAUCAUGCUGAAUAAGUUAUCAGAGAGAGCAAAGGGAAAGGAUUCAUCCCAAAGGGAAAAAGAUAAAGGUGGACACGUGGAAAAAAGAUCAGGAAUAUGUUCCUGUUGGGUUAAAAACUGAAGUUGAUGAGCAGCCAUCUAAUAUGGCACGGAUUCCUUAUUUUAUGCAGGUAUUGAUAUUUCUGAAAAAGUGCCAGCCACCACCUUGAGUAAUAUCAAUAAAUAUAUGUCCAGCAAUUCA